UGAGGGACUAAAAAUCCCAGAAGAGGGACCUUUUCCCUUCUCUAAACAAGGAGAGAAACCAAGACCUUCCAGAGGGGGAGCUCCACCUGUGGCUGGGGUUAUUUAUAGGACUUGGAUUUAAAUUUAAUUCUGCCCUCUGGUAACUCCAGUGGCACCUGCUACUUUAAGAGCUGGCCCCACCCUCUACGUAAGAGAGCUGUUUAGCUCCAGUGUGUACAGAUCAAAUGCAAGUUUAGCAGGCAAGACACAAGAAACAUAAACAAGUUCUGCAAAGGGUCCCUGGAGGAGGGGGGCCAGAGUGGUGGCUGGAGUCAGGCUGUGUCACCUGGGCACGAGGACCAGGAUGGGUUUAAACUAUUCUGCCCCUAGGAUAUAAAAUGGGGCGGCCGCUCCGAAAAACAUUGCACAUGUGGUCCAGCCAUUCCUCUUCUAGGUACAGACUCAAAAGAAUUGAAUGCAGGGACUUAAAUGGGUAUUUGAACAGCCACGUUGACAAGAGCCUAAAGGUAGAAGCAAGACAAGAGUCCCUGGACAGAUGAAUGACUAAACACAAUGUGGAAUAUGCACACAGUGGGAUAUCAUUCAGCCUUUAAAAAGUAGGCAAUUGUGACACCUGCUCCAAUACGGAUGUACCUUACGUGAAAUAAGCAAGACAUAAAAGGACAGAUACGAUACGAUCCCACUUCUACGACGUAAUUUUCACAACAACCUUCAGAGAGAUUAAGCAACUUUCCCAAGUUCACCAAGCCAGGAAGGAGGAAUUUGAACCCAAGUGUCCAGGGGCACAACUCAUCGCUUCCCAGGCUGAGAAGAGUAAUGUGGCAGCAGCUUGAAAAGGCGAACCUGCAGGUGC